rnacentral:rRNA from 1 species
AUUGAACGCUGGCGGCAGGCUUAACACAUGCUAGUCGAGCGGGGGAAGGUAGCUUGCUACCGGACCUAGCGGCGGACGGGUGAGUAAUGCUUAGGAAUCUGCCUAUUAGUGGGGGACAACAUCUCGAAAGGGAUGCUAAUACCGCAUACGUCCUACGGGAGAAAGCAGGGGAUCUUCGGACCUUGCGCUAAUAGAUGAGCCUAAGUCAGAUUAGCUAGUUGGUGGGGUAAAGGCCUACCAAGGCGACGAUCUGUAGCGGGUCUGAGAGGAUGAUCCGCAACACUGGGACUGAGACACGGCCCAGACUCCUACGGGAGGCAGCAGUGGGGAAUAUUGGACAAUGGGGGGAACCCUGAUCCAGCCAUGCCGCGUGUGUGAAGAAGGCCUUAUGGUUGUAAAGCACUUUAAGCGAGGAGGAGGCUACUUUAGUUAAUACCUAGAGAUAGUGGACGUUACUCGCAGAAUAAGCACCGGCUAACUCUGUGCCAGCCGCCGCCGUAA